rnacentral:tRNA from 1 species
GGGCUCAUAGUAUAAUGGUUAUUAUGCACCGCUGGCAGCGAUGAGAUUCGGGUUCGAUUCCCGAUGGGUCCA